UAGGCGUUAGAUUUAUAUAUUGUAUUUACAAUUUUUGGAUUCACAUAUUCCAACAACUGUGGAAUAAAAAUAUUUUUAGUUCAGUAAAUAUGAUGUUUUUAUUCUGUAAAUCUAACAGGAAGUAUUUUUUUCUCGUUCCGGUGGCUGUUGCUACUAAAGCCACUACAUUGCACGUUGUCUCCAGUUAGUGUUCCUGCUGAUUCAUAACACCAUGUGAACAUAUGAUGCCGCAGAUGCAGAGGACCAUGUGUCGGACCUUAUCCCAUAGUGUUCCAGUGGUGGUGUUGUGCCUUGCUGCUUUGUUCCUCAGUAGUGUCUUGAUCUACCUUUAUCUGGAUUCUGUGUAUUAUACCGAUCACCCACCGGAUUUCUCCCAUGUAGGCUGUAUGCCACAACACUUUAAAAUGACAACUAUGAAGAACUGCACCCCCUGGCUCCAGUGUUCACAAAUACAUGCUGAAGUUCGAAAGCUGAAGCUGAUUGGCCAGGGAGCUGUUAAGAAGCAACAGCAGCAGCUGUUAAUUCCAGUCUCGGAAUCGUUGUUGGUUUCAAUGGAGAAACUCUGGACUUUCCAAUGAUGGAUGAACAGUGGACUGAACCUUUUUCAUUUUUUAUGUGAAGGUAGGUGACGACUCCAUAACCUUUCUCACUUGCAUCUGCGAAGUGAUGCAUUUGUGCAGAUGUGAUUUUUACAAAACCAGCCGGUUUUAGACAUCUGUCCACUGUGAAACCAUGAAGCUUUGCAAGAUCCAAAAUCGAUUUUUGUGACUUUUGAGCCAAUUCUGCAGAGAUAUCUUCAUCCCAUUAGACUUUCCUGCCACACAACUCCUGCAGGAUCAUUUUAGCUGGAAGAAUGACAGGUGACAAAAAACGGGUCAUACACAGCACUUACAAAUGACAGGAUGCCACGUCUAGUUUGUGCUGUGUUCUUUGCAUUGAUUUUGACCUUGAAUACAUCUGUACACCAGUUCUCUCCAAGGACUCUUUCAUCAGGUAAUGCAUCAUGACUGAGAUCUAAAUCUUUAACCUCCUUGGCUCUCUCUGACUCAGGAAUGGAGGCUAGCACAGUUCUGUUGUUACUCACCCAUUUUGUAAGGUGAAAUCCCCCACUCUCACACAGAGCUGUCAAGUCUUUGACCACGUUAACUGCUUGGGUUUUAUCUGACACUGACAAAAGACAAUCAUCGACAUAAAAAUUGUCCAUGAUUGCUUUCACUGCAGCAGGUGCCAUUUUGUCCUUAGCAUUCUCAGCUGUCUUUCCAAACACAAAAUUGGCACAGCUGAGGGAGG